rnacentral:rRNA from 1 species
GACGAACGCUGGCGGCGUGCUUAACACACGCAAGUCGAACGAUGAAGCCGGAGCUUGCUCUGGUGGAUUAGUGGCGAACGGGUGAGUAACACGUGAGUAACCUGCCCUUGACUCUGGGAUAAGCGUUGGAAACGACGUCUAAUACCGGAUACGAGCUAGGACCGCAUGGUCACUAGCUGGAAAGAAUUUCGGUCAAGGAUGGACUCGCGGCCUAUCAGUUAGUUGGUGAGGUAACGGCUCACCAAGACGACGACGGGUAGCCGGCCUGAGAGGGUGACCGGCCACACUGGGACUGAGACACGGCCCAGACUCCUACGGGAGGCAGCAGUGGGGAAUAUUGCACAAUGGGCGCAAGCCUGAUGCAGCAACGCCGCGUGAGGGACGACGGCCUUCGGGUUGUAAACCUCUUUUAGCAGGGAAGAAGCGCAAGUGACGGUACCUGCAGAAAAAGCACCGGCUAACUACGUGCCAGCAGCCGCAGUAACAC